rnacentral:rRNA from 1 species
AUACGUAGGGGGCGAGCGUUGUCCGGAAUGAUUGGGCGUAAAGGGCGCGUAGGCGGCGCGGUAAGUCUGGAGUGAAAGUCCUGCUUUCAAGGUGGGAAUUGCUUUGGAUACUGCCGCGCUUGAGUGCAGGAGAGGUUAUCGGAAUUCCCGGUGUAGCGGUGAAAUGCGUAGAGAUCGGGAGGAACACCAGUGGCGAAGGCGGGUAACUGGACUGCAACUGACGCUGAGGCGCGAAAGUGUGGGGAGCAAACAGGAUUAGAUACCCUGGUAGUCCACACUGUAAACGAUGAAUGCUAGGUGUAAGAGGUAUCGACCCCUUUUGUGCCGGAGUCAACACAAUAAGGAUUCCGCCUGGGGAGUACGGCCGCAAGGUUGAAACUCAAAUGAAUUGACGGGG